rnacentral:rRNA from 1 species
GAGUGAAGCGAGACNGUGAAGUGGAGCAAAUCGCGAAAAGCCGUCUCAGUUCGGAUCGCAGGCUGCAACCCGCCUGCGUGAAGUUGGAAUUGCUAGUAAUCGCGGAUCAGCAAGCCGCGGUGAAUACGUUCCCGGGCCUUGUACACACCGCCCGUCACACCAUGAGAGUCGGGAACACCCGAAGUCCGUAGUCUAACCGCAAGGAGGGCGCGGCCGAAGGUGGGUUCGAUAAUUGGGGUGAAGUCGUAACAAGGUACC